rnacentral:rRNA from 1 species
UGGUGGAGUGAUUUGUCUGGUUAAUUCCGUUAACGAACGAGACCUCAGCCUGCUAAUUAGUUAUGCAAAUAUUUAUAUUUGUAGAGAUACUUCUUAGAGGGACUGCGUAUAUCCAGUACGAGGAAGUUUGAGGCAAUAACA